CAAUAGCGUAUAUUAAAGUUGUUGCAGUUAGAACGCUCGUAGUCGGAUUUCGGGGCGUUCCGACCGGUCUGCCGAUGGGUAUGCACUGGCCGGAGUGUCCUUUUUGCCGGAGACCGUGCCUACUCUUAACUGAGCGGGGGCGGGAGACGGCACUUUUACUUUGAAAAAAUCAGAGUGUUUCAAGCAGACAGCUCGCUCUUGCAUGGAUUAGCAUGGGAUAAUGAAAUAGGACUUUGGUGCUAUUUUGUUGGUUUCGAACACCGAAGUAAUGAUGAGAAGGGACAGUCAGGGGCACUCGUAUUCCGCAGAGAGAGGUGAAAUUCUCAGACCCGCGGAAGACGAACCACUGCGAAAGCAUUUGCCAGGGAUGUUUUCACUGA
rnacentral:rRNA from 1 species